ensembl:ncRNA C43G2.27 ncRNA
CUCAUUAUACAUAAACGUACACAUAACUAUACACCUAUACCAUCUCCAUAUUCAUAGACAUAACAUGAAUCAAAGAAGCGUAGACAUCUGAGGGAUUGUUGGAAAAUUUCGGCGACCGAAGGAAGGCAAGCGCCGCCGUCACCGUUUUGUAAAACGCAAGAGAGGGAGAAAGAGAUAUAGAGAAUCAGAGUUCGAAGAGAAAUAGUUGAAAAUCAAGAGAGCGUUGAGAAGUGGACAACAUCGGGAGAGAGGGGUCUCACCCGCGUCCCGUCCAGUAUUGUCUAAGUCUCUCUGAUUUGUAUAUUAUUCCCUUGAUCUCUAACCAUU